GGCCUUUCCCCCUCCCGCAGCGCCUCGGGCCGAGCGGGUCUCGGUGCGUCGGGGAAAGACGGCCGGGCCCGCCGUUGCCGCUGCUGCCGAGGCCGGGCCAGGGUUCCGGGAGGACCCCACGGGCUCAGGCAGGCGUUGAGGCGUCUGGAGUGGCGCAGCCCAUGGCCGACCUGAAGCUAGCCUUCACAGACGGGCGGCCCGCUGUCCUGAGGGAGGGUGACCACAUCAGCACUCUGGGGAGGCCCGCCAGGACCGUGAGGAUCCCACAGUUGCUCCAUCAGUGGAAGAGUCCAGAAAAGGGAGCCAUUUCUAAGGCGGUUCAGGCCCACGGGAACAUCGGUGUGCGACUGUCCAUGGUGGCCACAAGGCGGAACCCAGAUGAGUGUGGUCCAGCCGUGGGAAGGAGUAGAUGCCAGCAGGUGCCACAAUGUGGAUGGACCCUGAAAGCAGCCUGCUGGGGGA